UUAAAUAGCUGUAGGCGGGCCUCUGGCGCUCUCUCCGCCUUAGCGCCAUCUUCUUGGAAACCUCUCCGCCAUGAGAGCUAAGUGGAGGAAGAAGCGAAUGCGCAGGCUGAAGCGUAAAAGAAGAAAGAUGAGGCAGAGGUCCAAGUAAACCGCUAGCUUGUGCACCCAUGGAGCCACAGGAGCAGAAAUAAGGAAAGCCAGAGGCCAGGGACGCUGGUACCAAUUGUUGGACUGCAUGCCUACUUUCUAGAGCUUGAUUCAGUGGAUCUAGAACAUCCAUCGCCAUCUGAUCGCAACGACCACCUUUGAGAGACUCGCCUUGUUCAUAUCAGAAGUCCCUUUUGGUCCGUUGCUCUGGACCUGUGACUUUUCGGGACUAAUUCUGUUUUCAUGUGUGGCUGAAUGUAACAACGUAUACAAUAAAUCUUCUCUUCUGCUGUCUUAGCUGAAGAAAAAAAUGG